rnacentral:lncRNA from 1 species
UAAGUGGAGAUGGGUUGGCUACUUCAUUCAGUGAAUACUGAAUGUCUUGCUAUCUCUGGGAGUAUGUUAAUGACAGCUUUUCAGCUGUUGAACUAUGGCAAUGUCGAACUAAUUUCUAAAUCUCUUUCUUUUAGUCAAGAAGAUGUGAUGAGCCAGAUCAACCAUUCAGCUUCAAUGCAGCUGUUCAACCCACCACUGCCACUGCUCUACCUCCACAAUGUUGUUGCUCUCUCCAUGUCACCGGUGGAUGACACGUUUAUCUCGGGAUCAUUGGAUAUGACCAUACGACUCUGGGACCUGCACUCUCCCAACUGUCAGGGCUACAACAACAUUUCACUCGAGGCCUGCUGCUUCACCCCAGACUCAGAGUUUGUCAUGAUUGGCAUCUUGGCUUCCCAGUGUAGGAGACUGAUAAAGGAGUGGGGCCACAGAGAAACUGUCAUCAUCAUUACCCAGCAUGUCUUUCUCCUUUCAUGUUGCUCUGAGUAUGCAAAUGCUUAACACUGUGAACUCUUAAUGGCUCCAGAUAAAAUUGUAUGCACACUAAGGCAUUGGUGAAAGGGAUUCCAAUGUCGAUUAUCCCUGAGGAGAGCUGUCACUCUAUACACUGAUUGAUUUGCCAAAUAGGGAAGGUUACAUAAGGGGAGCACUAGAGCUGUGGUUAGUUAUUACUAUUGUCCACCUGUGGCCUGCAGAUAAGUUGAGAUACAUUUUUCUAAGAGUAGAGAAGACCUGAGGUGUACUACUGCCAAACACUUGUUUAGAUAUCUUGUUUUUUUUACUGUGAUUCUGAGCAAACUGCCACAUAAUGUUAAUAAGUAGAGAGUUAUGUAUGAACUUGUAACUUUUUGAUACAAUGACAAACUUCAAUCAAGUGUUAAUUUGACCUGCUGAUACAUGUUUUAUUGGGAAUUCAAUGUUAGUGUUUUUUGUACGGUUUAUUCUGAAAGUAUUCAAAUGUUUUAAUGUCUACUUUUUAUGUCCUUAAACUCUGGUGUUUUUCAUUGGUGUGUGCAUUUGUGUGUGCGUGCACAUAAAGUGUAUCUGUGUGUAUAGUAGAGAGGGGGCCUCUGUUGAAUAAUGUAUAGAACCUUGGAGCUUACUGAAUUAUGGAUGAUCCCAUCACAGGUAACCUCACAGGUACACACUCAUCUUUCUCUCACCACCUAUGUGUGUGUGUGUGUGUGUGUGUGUGUGUGUGUGUGUGUGUGUGUGUGUGUGUGUGUCUUUCUGUCUCUAUCUCUCAUACACACAGUCACAAUCAGACAUAUUGCUAAUGAAAGAGCUUUGUUCUGAGUUUUUGUACCUGGCCAUUGUCUCGGUCCUUAAGUACUGACCAUUAAAAAACCUACCAUUCCUG